CUCCUAGAUGUUCUGGGCCGCACGCGCGCUACACUGAACAGUUCAACAAGUCUUAACCUUGGCCGAUAGGUCUGGGUAAUCUUUGAACGCUGUUCGUGAUUGGGAUAGACCUUUGCAAUUAUGGGUCUUCAACGAGGAAUUCCUAGUAAACGCAAGUCAUCAGCUUGCAUUGAUUACGUCCCUGCCCUUUGUACACACCGCCCGUCGCACCUACCGAUUGAAUGGUCCGGUGAAAUCUCGGGACGGCGGCUUGGUCGCUUGCGUCCGACUGCUGAAACUUGAUUAAACCAUAUCAUUUAGAGGAAGGUGAANUCGUAACA
rnacentral:rRNA from 1 species